CCCGUUUUUGCAUCUGGGUGAUGAAGGCCAUGGUGUAAGAGACUCAGUCCUCCACUGGCUCACACUCUUCUCCUUGAAUUAUUGCAAAAAGAGAGAAGAAAAGAAACCAAGACCAUGUGCUUUGCCCUCUCUGGGGACAUCAGGAAAGCCAUAGUCCACCCCAAAUAUCCUUGGACAAGUUGCUCACCAGUCUGCAGUACCAUUUAAUAUCAGCCCACCUACAAAUUAGGACUGAUCUUGAACUGUGAGGUUUCAAAUUUUCAUUGUCUCUAGCCAAGAGAGAAUGUAAAAUGGCUUCAUCAGGUGCAGCAAAGAAGCACUUCAGAAUCCACCCAUAACUCAACAGACACAAAGCUCUGUGUCAGGUCUGCAAGGUGCUGUAAGAUCUCUACGAGGAUAUGGGAACAUUUCUGGAACAACAGACUGCUUUGGACUAAGAGGAUUCUUUUACUGAGGAUAACAUCAAGCAUUUUUAAGGAGAUGACACUGCUAAAAUGCAAACAGCUGAGGGAGUGGCUCUAGGAUAGUGCUGCACAUACAUUUUGUCCUUUCCAGUGAAUUAAGAAGAAAACCUACAAAAACAACAUCCUAGUUUGCUUCAAA